UCCCCACACUCAGUGAGUGACCAGUGUGAUUUCCCUCACAGGUCGAUUUGUUUUCUGCACAGUGGCUGAACUUUUGUUUUGCCAUUGACACUUCCAUGGAAAGAUUAAGCAUUUUUCGCAGGUAGCUGAGGCUCUCUCUCAGCUCCUGCCGUCCUGCAGGAGGAGACAGAGACAAGGAGAGGUCGUCCACCACAGGUGAGGAGGAGGAGUCAAGGCAGUCUAGCCAGUCAGCAGCAGAGGAUCGUGGGUAACCGUCCUGCAGCAAGGAGCCGGGAAACGAGAACUUCCAGUACAGGUCUCCUUUGAAGAGCAUGUCAGACAAACACAGGUCCUGUCCUCACCAUCGCUCUCCGUGGUGAUGCCGCUCACACCCUCCCUCAGCAGCUGAGUCCAGGUGUCUUCCUGCUGAUCUUCCUCAGCGGCUCCCAUGUUCCCCCACAGAGGACCCUCCAGUGGAUCCCACACCAGACCCCACCUCACUGCUGCUGCCUCGUCCACCUCACCAUCAUCAGCAUCGGCUCCAGCUAAGCUCAGCCCCAUCCUCAGGGAGGACAGAGGCUGAGGGUAGCCAUCCUGCAGGGACAGAUCCCUGAACAGCCAGAACUGUGAACCUGCAGCAAGAAAACACCUGGAGAUGAUGGCGUGAUCGGAUUGCCUCUCGAGCACAGCGUGAAGACGAGGCAGGUCAGCGGGAAGGCCCCUCCACAGCCGUCUGACCGAGGCCCCCCGACCCGACACCAAGCCCCCACCAUUAACCCGCCACAUCGUCAGACCUGGAGGGAUGAAAGACAGAACGGAGGAGCGAAAGAAUGGGUUGAAAACCUUUGAAGAAAAAGGUCUCUCCUCUGAUCCUCGCCACCGAAUCAAAACUGGUGUUGCAGCGAUCGAUGACUGAGCUGCAGACAGAAAACACACUUCAUGUUAGGAUGAAAUCAACACUUAACUUUGAAACUGUAAGUGAAAGCUGACCUAUUCUGUUGAUCCCCGUUUUUAAACUCACAAAGUGUUUACAAUGCUGGAAGGCCAGACUUAACGUGGGCAACGUUUCAGAUCAUGAGGUAAACGUAUGUUGGAGUAAUCCCAAGGUAAGUCUGCAGAAGGCGAUUUAUUAUUUUAUUUUCAUCAUGGAACAUUUUUCAGGUUUAUUACAUUUGAGUUAUUUUUUUAACUCUUUUAAAAAAAGGUUUAAAAUAAAGAAUCAGGCUAUUUCUUUUAAUUGAUUGUUGUAGUAGUACUCAUUUUGGCCACUAGAGG